AAGCAAAGUGCUCCUUAAAUUUGACGAGGGAAGAAAAUGAAGCUCAGAGUUACUCAUGGCCUGGAGACUUCCUCAUUAGCGGAAUCAUAUCUCCAAGAAGCUUUGCUGAGCAACUUCCAUAUAACCUUUCCCAGCCCCCAGUAACCAAGCUUAAAGAGUAAAUAAUAAAAUACAUCGUGGAUAUCAUGCUUCUCCCUCACCUCCUCAAUGGUUCCCUUUCAUAGGGAAAUAAUUUCAGGGAUAGGGAGACAGUGGCCCUUCAGGCGCUGCUGGACUCCGGCUCCUAUCAUCCUGAUCACUUUUUGUGGAGGCCGAGGCUGAGGGGAGUUUCUAAUCUCUUUUCCUUUUGCUCCUUACGGUCUUCAAAUAAAAACAUCUUGGAGGUCCUGGGCCACAGGGAGGUUAGACUGGCCUCAACCAGAGCCAGGGCUUUUUUGGCUGUGGCCCCGAUCUGGUGGAACACCCUGUCACAAGAGACUAGGGCCCUUUGGGACUUUACAUCUUUCCGCAGGGCCUGCAAGACAGAGCUGUUCCGCCUGGCCUUUGGCCAAGGCACAGUCUGACCCCCUCCUUUCGUAAUCAUCACAAAACUCUAGCCCAGUGGUUGCCAUUAAUCUGAUUUGAAUUGAUUUUAAAAUGAAUCGAUUUUAGAAUGCUGUGCUACUUUUAUUGUUAUUAUCCAUGUCUUUUAAAAUUAUAAACUUGAAGUCAUAGGCAGUUUUAGGAAUGAUUUGUAAGCUACAGUGGGAGUUUGGCCAAAGAGCAAGAUCAGGACGGUAUAAACGGAGGCCUUUGUACAGUUGUAGAAUUGUAGAGUUGAAUGUCCCCACCCUCUGAAUCUUGAGUGGAACCACAGGUUGUUGUUGGAAUUAAAAAAUAAUCUGGAUCCCAGAUAGUAUUUUCCUGAGGGCUGCUGUAAACUCCACAAAUAUUAUUAUUAUCAUUAUUUACUCAAUUUAUAUACCACCCUAUACCGGAGGUCUCAGGGCGGUUCACAGAAGAAAAUCAAAGUAUAACUAUGAAACCACAAAUUACAUAAUCAAAAAACAAUGCCCCAAUAACCCCACCCCCACUGCAUAGGCAAGCAGUGUCCUCUCACUGCAAGUCCAGCUAACCAUGUGUAUGGUGAGGAAAAGCAUCGUUGUCAAAGUUCCCUUAGCUCACUUGUGAUGCGGAGGAGAUAGAUAAUUGACAGUAGACCUCUUAAAGCUUCUGAUUCCCGAUUCUUCACUAAUAGCAAUUGUGGAGUUGCCCACUGUUGCUUGAAAUCAUUUCUGUACCAGGCUCUUCGAUCUUGAGUUAGACUGCAUAUUACUCAUAGCUGAAUUUCCUAAGCCUCUUAAGACGUUGUCAACUGAAUUGCUAUAGUGCAAAAUGAACUUAGCUAAAUUAGAAGAAAAGGGACAUUAAACUAGCUAAAUGAAGGACAUAGAUAAAAGGUCAUAUGGAAAUCUACAACGGUGUUACACACAGUUUGUGGAAGAGAAACAUUUUCGGCACAUGAGUUAAGAUGAGGAUCAAAAGUACAAGACUUGGAGAAAACUCAGUACAUGGAAGGACAUGGCAGAAACUUGAUAUUAGGUAGUCAGAAACGAGGUAAGCCAGACACCUCAGUUUGAUUAAUUAUUAUUAUUAUAAAUCAUAAUAAAAUUUAUAUAGCGCCCAUUGGCCAUAGAUGUCACGGUGGUUCACAACAU